GGGGGAAAAUUAAUUAAGUUAAUAAUAAUAAAAUAAAUUUUAAAAUUAAGAAUAAAUUGGGGGUUAAAGUAUUUUUAAUAGAAAAAAUUUAAAAUUUUAUAGGGAAUUAGUAUUGUAUAAAAAAUUUGAAAUAAUUUGAAAUUUAAUUGUUAAAAAAGAAAAUUUAAUUUAUUGUAUCUUGUGUAUCAGAGUUUAUUAAAUAUUAUUUUUUUAUAAAAAAAUCUCGAAUUUAAAAGAGUUAAUUAAUUAAAAAAGUCAAUGUAACAUAAUUAUUUUAAAUAAUUAAUUAGAAAUGAAAUGUUAAUCGUUUUUAAAUAUAUCUAGUUAUUUUAAAAAAAAAUUUAAUUUUAAAUUUAAAUAAUUUUAUAAUUUAAUAAUUUAAAUUAUAAAAAUUUAAAUUUAAUAUUUUAAGGGAUAAGCUUUAAAUUAAAAAUUUAUAAUAAAAUUAAAUUAAAAUUAAAAUUUUUAAAAUUUAUAUUGUUUAAAAAUUAUAAUUUAUUAUAAAAAAUUUUAAUAAAAAUAAAAUUUAAAAGGGGGAAUUUAAAUUUUUAUAAAAUAAUAAUUUUUAAUAAUAAAAAAUUAAUAAUAAUGAUAAAAUUAGUAUAAUAUAUAUAUAUAUAUAUAUAUAAUAAGAAAAUUAAUUAAAAUUAAUUAAAAGGAAUUCGGCAAAAUUAAAUAUUCACUUGUUUAUCAAAAACAUGUCUUUUUGUAAAUAAUUUAAAGUCUAAUCUGCUCACUGAUAAUAUUAAAGGGCUGCAGUAUAAUGACUGUACAAAGGUAGCAUAAUCAUUAGUUUUUUAAUUGAAAACUUGUAUGAAAGAUUUGAUGAAAUAUAAACUGUCUCUUAAUUAUUAUUAAAAAUUUAUUUUUUAGUUAAAAAGCUAAAAUAAUUUUGAAAGACGAGAAGACCCUAUAGAGUUUUAUAUUUAAUUUUAUUUUAAUAAUAAGUUAAAAUUAAUAUAAAAGUAAAAUUAAAUAUUUUAUUGGGGUGAUAGAAAAAUUUAAUUAACUUUUUUUAAAAUAUAAACAUAAAUAAAUGAUUAAAUGAUCCAUUUAUAAUGAUUAUAAGAAAAAAUUACCUUAGGGAUAACAGCGUAAUAUUUUUUUUUAGUUCAAAUAAAAAAAAAAGUUUGCGACCUCGAUGUUGGAUUAAGAUAAAAUUUAAAUGCAAAAGUUUAAAAUUUUGAUCUGUUCGAUCAUUAAAAUCUUACAUGAUCUGAGUUCAAACCGGUGUAAGCCAGGUUGGUUUCUAUCUUCAAAUAUAAAUAAUAUUUUA
rnacentral:rRNA from 1 species